rnacentral:tRNA from 1 species
UGGGCUAUAGCCAAGCGGUAAGGCAACGGACUUUGACUCCGGCACUCGCUGGUUCGAAUCCAGCUAGCCCAGCCA